rnacentral:piRNA from 1 species
UGGGGUGUAAACCAGUAUGAGUUUGAAA